ACCAACUAGAGGCCAAGAAAGAGAUGGAUGGAUCUGGACCUGAAGUUUGUGCACUGAGAAAAGAGUACUUAACAAGAUGUCUGUAUGCCACUGGCUAGGUCUGAGCUUGGGGGAUGAGGGUGGGUCAGAACAUGAAGAAAGAACAAAGGGAGUGUGAAAACAUAAACAGGCACUUUCCCUCUCAUCCAGAGUUUUAGCAAAAGCUAUUAAAAUUGGCAUGAAGCUGUCUGGUGAGGUCCAUUGGGAGCUCUUCACAUUCUCCUUGCAUUUUCACCAUCCGGCAUCCACAAACCUGGCUACCUGUUUAUCUCUGACUCCAGCAAAACCUCAGGUUCACACUGUUCCAGAUGCCUCACUCUAUAUUACAUGGGGCUAUUCCACCGAUGCUGAGUCUGACAAGGCAACAGUCCUGGCUAUAACAUUCCAGAUGGAGCAUGUUGUUUCUCUUCCUUUGGACAGUGCAAGCCUGGCUGCCUUUUAUACUUGAGAUCCUGCGGUGCAGGGAAUUCUGUGUACUUGUCCCAAUCUCCUCAUUUGUCUCCAAGGCCUGUUACUUUCAAAGUUAAAUUAUCAACCUCCAUGACCCCAAGCUGAGAAGAAAGAAGUGUAACAGAAACCCUCCUCGGGACUAUCGUAGAGAAGAUUGUUUGAUUUUGAAGGCUUCUAAUCAACCCCUCUCCAACUAGACUAAGAUUGAUUCUUCCAUGACAAAGCGGAGGAAUAGCUCUUCAACAUUUGUGGCAUACAUAACCACAUCAUCCAAAUACCAAAGUACUCCAGCAAGACCUUGCAAAAUAGAAUCUAUAGCUUG